AACAACGAUGACUGCCAUGAAUUCCAUUUCUGUAGGGUGAUACAACUUCAAGUGGGGUGUCUUGACCUGUGUGAUUGUGGAUGGGGAAUGAGAAAGAAGAUAGAGAAAUGGUCUUCUGAUAAAUUGUCUUCUGAUGCUUCACAUGACAGAGAGCAGAAAAUGCUGGGAGAGCCUGGAUGUUAUUUGUGCUGGAUGCACUUGGCUCCAGAUGAACAACAUGACCACUUCAUCUUCCUCCAGUUUACCCUGUCAAGGAACGGAGAAGUAUGGGCACAUAACUAGUAGGACAUUUAUUUUUGAAGACGUCUUCUUGGGCAGAAGAGGAAUGGUUCAGAAGGCUCUGCAACCUGCUGUUGAAGAGAGGAUCAGAAGAUAAUAGCAGCUGGACUCUUCCCCUCUCCCUUGCUGCACCCUGCUCCAAGCUGUGCUCAGUCAUAAACUCUGGGACAGACCCAUGUUUUUUUGGUUUCUGACACCACAGACUGUGGGGACUGGCUGGUAUUUUUGAUCCAUCUGCUGCAAAUAUUGGUGAGGAAUUCUUGUUUGGAACCACUUCCUUGUUUGCAUUUCACAGAAAGAUCUGCAACAGACUAUAAG
rnacentral:lncRNA from 1 species